GAUGAACGCUGGCGGCGUGCCUAAUACAUGCAAGUCGAGCGAACCACUUCGGUGGUGAGCGGCGAACGGGUGAGUAACACGUAGGUGAUCUGCCCAUCAGACGGGGACAACGAUUGGAAACGAUCGCUAAUACCGGAUAGGACGAAAGUUUAAAGGUGCUUCUGGCACCGCUGAUGGAUGAGCCUGCGGCGCAUUAGCUAGUUGGUAGGGUAAAGGCCUACCAAGGCGACGAUGCGUAGCCGACCUGAGAGGGUGAACGGCCACACUGGGACUGAGACACGGCCCAGACUCCUACGGGAGGCAGCAGUAGGGAAUCUUCGGCAAUGGGCGAAAGCCUGACCGAGCAACGCCGCGUGAAUGAUGAGGCCUCGGGUUGUAAAAUUCUGUUAUAGGGAAGAACGACUUUAGUAGGAAAUGGCUAGAGUGUGACGGUACCUUAUGAGAAAGCCACGGCUAACUACGUG
rnacentral:rRNA from 1 species